rnacentral:misc_RNA from 1 species
CUAUCUUCUUAAUAAUCUAUGACUGUCACUAAUAUUAUUUCAUUGGUUGAUUCAAAUAGUAUCAUAAAUUUUACCGAUACGAAAAUAUAGCAUUCAGAAUAGUGAAUAAAAUCUAACAGUAUCCUAUCUUAAGUUCCAUGAUGGAGAUGUUCAGUCGACGUCCCCUUCCAAUUUUAGUGUAUUUUUAGAAAUAUUGCAUGGAAAAUACUUCGUCAGAAAAAAAUAAACUUUUAUCUUGAUACAAUAUGGAUAAUAAUCCCAUAAUGAAAAUGAGCAAAGGCUGUUGGAAAUUUGAUGAAGAUGAUCGAGCAUUAUAUAUAGACAUUGAAGAAAAUACUGAAGAAGAGAAAGAAAAUAAAAUAUAUAGCUGUUGGGAUCAAACACCUGAUAUACUUUUAGAAGAAAUUUUUUCUUAUUUAACUAUUCGUGAAAGAUAUUAUGCAUCUUUAGUAUGUAGAUCAUGGUAUCGUGCCUUUAAAUUACCAAAAGUAUGGUCUACGUUUACAUUAGAAGACACCACUCUUACUAGAGGCAAAUUUAAUUAUCAUAGUGGUUGGCAAUAUGUUUUGGAUCAUAUGAGAACUUCCACAUGUUUGAAUAAAGUUGGAAAAAAUUUUAGAUCUCUUGUUUUUGAACCAAUGUUGAAUUUUUAUAAUCUCUAUGAAUUUAUGAACAUGAUAUCAUGGUACACUGAAAAACAGGGAUCAGAUAAUACAUCAGUGGCAGGAGUUGGUACUUAUAUUCGACGACUUAAAUUUACAUUUCCCUGUAACAUGGCAAACAGAGAUGAUCCUGAUAGCAUUAGAAUUUUUGGUACUGGUGGAAAAUUAUUAGAAGCAUUGAAAAGAUUGAUGCGUAAUUUACAUAAUUUGAAAUGUUUAGAGUUGAUAGAUCUCAUGUUAGAUAGUAAAGAAGCUUUACAUUUAAUGGAUGAUAUCUGUGCAAAUUGUACUCAGACAUUAUCAAAAUUGGUUUUAAUUAAUACUACAAGAUAUCAUUGCCCUCUUUUACAUGUAGGAGUAUUUAUUAAUUUAAAUGUAUUAGUUAUUAGUCCUCAAAAUCUUCAUGAAGAUGUAAUAGAUUUAAUUGGAUAUACUAAAUUGCAACAUCUUCAUAUUGUUCAAAAUUGUUAUAGUCCAAAAGAUGCUACCGUGAGAUUGCCUUCAAGAAAAUCUUGGAUAAAGAUGAAAAAAAACAAUCCUCACAUUAAAGUUCACUUUGAAGUGGAAAGUCAUAAGUCUACAGAUAUACUUUUGCCCAUUGAUUUAUUAGAACAUGGGAAUAUUCCAUGUCAUAGUAUUGUUUUAGAUAUUCCAAAUACACAGAUUUCAUCUUCAACUAUUCUUAAUCAUGGAACAUUUUUUGAAUCAACAAUAAAGGUAUAUGCGUUUAAAGGUCUAAGCAGAUAUUUUGUGCCCAGAAAUUUUUCUCAAAGAUUGGAUGAAGCACUAGUACAAUUUUGCAAAAUGUGUCCAAACCUUCAUACACUGCUUCUAUGGAUCUAUUUAUGUACAUAUGUUGUGUGGCAAUAUAUCACUGAUUUGUCAAUAGUACAUAAGACAAGAGAUUUAAAUUCAGAUCAAUGAUUGUACCAAUGACUUGGAAGCCAAUCAGUGGGAGACAAAUAUUUUACCAUGACACAUUUAAUAAUUUGCCUGGGUUAAUAACUGGUCUUUGAACGAAUAAUACUUCAUACAAUUACAUUAAUCCACGGAUUGGUUUCCUUGAUGAUUCGAGAUAAAAUUUCAACGGCCACCAUUUUAGAAAUUGUAUCUACAGCAAAGAAUUUACGUUGUUUAUAUGUCCGAAGAUAUUCAAUUUUAAAAAAAUGUGAUGGGGAUUGGUUAAAAAUUAUGAACUGGUCACCAGAACAUUAUCAAUGGAUUCAAAAAAAUAGCCGUAGUUAUGAAAAUACAGAAAAAGAAGUAUCUAAAAUAUUGAACUAUAGAUGGCACAUGUUAAGUGAAAGAGAAUUUGCUGAUCAAAUGGUGAAAUUACAUUUAUAAUAUGUCCAUAAAAAAAGGAAAAAGUUUUUAAAAAAAGUGUUUUAUAACAGAUUGUGAUUAUAUAAUUAUAUCUCUAAAUAAUAUCUUAUAAAGUGUUUAAUUGUUUAUGUAGUUAUUAUAUAUUACGUACAAUUUGUAUAAUGUAUUUACACUUUUUGAUAUAACUAUGAUGAUGUAAAUACAUAAGAAAUUAUUGCUUACUUGAAGUUGAUUAAAGUGGAUUGUUAAAUACAGAAUUGUACGAAAAAUAAUAACAUAAUAAAAUGACUGAAAUUGUAA